rnacentral:lncRNA from 1 species
AAAUUUCAACAUGUUUUUCUUAAAUAGAAAUUCUGCUGAGCCAUGAGAAACUGUGCUCAGCAUUUCAUUUCACUUGGGUUUCUGAACCUGAACCAUUUGGUUAAUAAUACCACUACUAAUGAUAAAAGUAAUAAAAUGGAACAUGGAAGAAGAUCCACAACACAGAAAAGCAAUGAGGGUGCUGCUAUAAAGCUAACAGCAGCUCACCCAGGUCCAGACUUCCUGUAAUGCACAGUAAGAAUGUUACUGUGGUAGCCCGAGGUGGUGGAGAGUAAUAAGGAAAAGAGCAAAGAACCAAUGAUGUCACACUCACACACUAAAAUGGCAGUGCAACAAUUGAGAGCUCAAAACUUUUACAAUUCAAUGAAAACCUGACAGUGUCACCCUGGGAAUUUCAACCAGAGAAUACGGAGUUGAGACGAUGUUAAUUAUCAAUAAGGCACACAGGUCAGUUAUACUUGAGACAGACGUGGUUCAGUGUAAAAUAAACAUGUUGACAGCUAUUUAAAAUACAAAAUAAGUGAGCCAAUGAAUUGAUUGUACAUGCACAAUUCAGAGCUGUGGAUUACCAGUGGGUGAAUACUAGAUGAGAAGGUCCAGAAAAAUCACCGACUCGUACAUACAGCUCACCUUCACACACUCACACUAUGAGUGUGUGAAAUAUAAAUUAAAAAAAUAAAAACAUAUCAGCAGUCGAUUGAAGGCUUCAGGGAAAUAAUCUGCAGGUGAUCUCUGCAAAACAUGAGUAACACCAAUCAACAAAAGUGUAGCCAAUUCAGGCUGAGGCAGCAGCUACAUGUAGGCAAGUCCUACCUGUGACAGCUGGGAAGUCAGGUGACCAAAGAGCUGGAUGUGUACAGCAACAGGUGAGCAAGUCAGGGAUGCUCAGAUAUCUAAUGUGAUUGGCCACUAACAGUGGCUAAUAAUGCAAUAUGGAAAUAUAGUACUCAUUCUGCUACAUCAAUAUAAAAAAAGACUGUAACAAAAGUAAUGCUAAUAUGACGACAAGUCAGAGUUACACACUGAUCAAAUAGCGUUCCCCGAGUCUACAAAAAAAGCAACAAAUAGUUUUCUGCAGCUCCACCUGUAAACAACCCAAAUAUUUGAACUUAUAAUAUAUAAAAGAGUAAAUGACAACAGUAAUCUGUGGAGGAAAGUCUUCUGACCAAGUAAGAAUCCACAGCCUCUGCAAAAGCACAAGUUGAAGUUCAGGAUAUUUAAUUUUCUGUCCAUUUCCAGGUGAGGUUGUGAUAAUUGGAAGAUUUGAACCAAUCAUCGCCCAACA